UGUAAGCGUAUACCAAAGUUGUUGCAGUUAAAACGCUCGUAGUCGGAACUUGGCAGUUCCGGAAGUGUGCACGUCGUGUGCGCACUUUGCAGGGACUGCUUUUGUGGUCUUGCGUAGGAUGAGGCACUUUUAUUAGUGAACGUCCUCACGCAACCACUCUUUACUGUGAGAAAAUCAGAGUGCUCAAAGCAGGCAUUUGCCGUGAAUGUAUUAGCAUGGAAUAAUAGAAUAGGACUCGGUUCUAUUUUGUUGGUUUGUUGGGACUGAGUAAUGAUUAAGAGGGACAGUUGGGGGCAUUUGUAUUUCGGCGCUAGAGGUGAAAUUCUUAGAUUGCCGAAAGACAAGCUGCUGCGAAAGCGUCUGCCAAGGAUGUUUUCAUUGA
rnacentral:rRNA from 1 species